CGGUAGCUCAGUUGGAUAGAGCACCUGUUUCGCAAACAGAAGGGCGAGGGUUCGAGUCCCUCCC
rnacentral:tRNA from 1 species